GAUGAACGCUGGCGGCGUGCCUAAUACAUGCAAGUCGAGCGAACAGACGAGGAGCUUGCUCCUCUGACGUUAGCGGCGGACGGGUGAGUAACACGUGGAUAACCUACCUAUAAGACUGGGAUAACUUCGGGAAACCGGAGCUAAUACCGGAUAAUAUAUUGAACCGCAUGGUUCAAUAGUGAAAGACGGUUUUGCUGUCACUUAUAGAUGGAUCCGCGCCGCAUUAGCUAGUUGGUAAGGUAACGGCUUACCAAGGCGACGAUGGGUAGCCGACCUGAGAGGGUGAUCGGCCACACUGGAACUGAGACACGGUCCAGACUCCUACGGGAGGCAGCAGUAGGGAAUCUUCCGCAAUGGGCGAAAGCUUGACGGAGCAACGCCGCGUGAGUGAUGAAGGUCUUCGGAUCGUAAAACUCUGUUAUUAGGGAAGAACAAAUGUGUAAGUAACUAUGCACGUCUUGACGGUACCUAAUCAGAAAGCCACGGCUAACUACGUG
rnacentral:rRNA from 1 species